CCCAGAGGGAAGAGGGAAGAAACUUCUUCUUUGGCCAGUUGCCAUAAGACACUUCUUUCAAGUCUGCUGUUGUCUGCACAGGUUGCGUACACAUCUCAAAGCCACAUCCGUCAUUGCAAAGCCACGUCUCUGCCUCUCCCCUCUUUAGUUCAAUUCUGACAAUAGUUUUCUGCUGCAGCUGGAUUUCCAUUGGGUGCAGAUGUUGCUAAUGGCAGCUUAAGCACGGAUGGGCAGAUAACAUAUGGAAAGCAACAUGUUGCCAUAUGGUCCCUUUAGCCUUUCACCUCCAAGAAUAUCAAUCAAAGAUAUUCUGGGGGGAAAUUUAAUGACUCCGAACAAGAAGAUGAAUUGCUUGAUACAAUUUAUAUUCCUUGACCUGAGACUUUAGGAGACAGGAAGUGGAUCUUGCAGUCUGUCUAGUAAGAAUUGUGGGCUAAAAUGCGGGAAAGGCUUCAGAUAUUGUAAACAUCUAUUUGUCAGCUGGGAUCCUGGGAACUGUCAAAGAUGUCACAUGGCCUAGUCCCUCAUAAUAUAACUUGACAGUACAAAGGAUGGUUAUAUGAAUGUAUCUAUACACAUCUUAUUAACAUGUUAUUGACAUCCCAUUCUUAUUAUCCCUCUGUUUAGACACUGCAGUUUUCGGUGUUCCCUAUAAAGGGAGAGAACAAGAAAAGUAUAACAGUACAUAAUUUAGAAAAUUGAAUAAAUUUUAGCUAAUACCUUUCUUGUGCACUCAUCAAUACUUACAUUUUCCGAAUGUAUAUUUAUCUUUUCUUUCAGUGACAAAAAUGUUGCAUCUGUCCUUGCAUACAGAAAAGCCAUAUAUACAUCAUUGAGUCGUCUUAUAUAUUUAUACUGGUUUUAAAUAAUGUCAUGUAAUUGUAUAUGAAUUUGCAAAAAGAGGUUUACAGUAUGAAAUGUAUGUCUGCAUGUCAGUGAGGUGGAUUUGUUCAUCCCCAAAUCUAUUUUGCUAUAUAAAAAUAUUUGGAGUCAGAUCUAAAACCUUUUCUAUCAUACUUUAGAAUUAACACUCCAUUACUUAUAGCAUCCCUGAAGUGUAUAUUUUUGUUGUUCUUAUCUGUAUCCGCUUCUGUGUAUUUAAGUACAUUAGGAAGAAAGGUAAGUCAUCAUUCAUGAAAGGAAGAUUCUGCAGAGCUCAAAAUCCAUGGAAAGGAUUAUUACGUGCCUCUGUUCGGUGGAGUUUUAGGAGGAGCAAUUAUUUGUGAUUUCUGUCUUAAUAUACUAUCUAAAAGAGUAGGGAUAUUUUAAGAAGAUACAAGUCAUUUGCUACUCCACUUUUUUUCGAUUUGUAUUUUGAAAGGACAAGGCUCUGCUUCAAUACAUAUACUUGUCAUUUUUUCCCCAGAAAUUCAACCUGUUCACUUAUUAUAAGGAAGAGGAUUAAAUUUAGUUACCCUUUCAGGAUAUUAGACUGUGCCAAACAGGAUAUUCAUACUUAGUAUAAUACAUGUCUGCAAUAAGUAGCCAAUGUGAUUUAGGGAAAUAGGAAUGCUGAAUUCUCAUACUGAGAACUGCUAAUCUUAGUAUUCAAAACUAUUUUCAGUUUCAGACCCAGGGGUCUGGCUUUAGUAGGAUAACAGACAAAGCUAUAUUUCUAGCAUGUAAUGAGGCAGGCUUUGAGAGUACUGUACUAUUUUGUAUUGCAGCAGCUACACUAUCAAAAUAAAAGCAGUGUCAGUUCAUUCCAAGUUUGUAUUGUCUACAUUAAGAACUAUGAAAAUAAUCAUUUACUAUACAGAAAUGUAAAAAUGAAAGCAGUAGUGCCUGAUCCUAAUUGAAUUAGUUUUGGAAGCAUAUCAUGCUAUAAAUCCAGGUGCUAAUCCUAACUAAAGUAAACCCAUUAAAUCAUUGAGAUUUACAUAAUUGGUGAUCUAACAUUUAGCAGUUGAAUCAUUGGGUCUAACCUUGGUGGAACUUGUGGUUUAAAUUAAGACAAUACAAUUGUCCCUCUGUAUCCAUGGAUUCAGCCAUACACAACUUGAAAAUAUUUUGUUAAAAAUAAAACGAUCAAACCUUUUUUGACCAUUUGAUAUAUGGUGCACCAAGUAAUUAUUUAUAGAACGGGACUUGAGCACCCAAGAAUUUGGCGAUCUACAUAAGAUCCUGGAACCAAAUCCCUAUGGAUACCAAGGGCCCACCAUAUGUGCAGAUUUACCAUCAAAGUUUCUUUGCCAACUUUAAAGGGCCAGUGAUUACUUGUUAAAAUACAGCCAUGUGCAAUGGUAAUACGACGUGUUCUUCUCAAUUGGAGCUAUCUGCAUGAGGGAGGUAUCUACAUCAGCUAUGGGUUUCAAUCAAUCUCAAUUGUACCUUCUUUUCUAUCGAGCAUCCUUCUGAAGUAUGCUUUGCUAUGGAGCAGAAGCCAUUAGACUAAUUACAAAUAAGUGCAGUGUAAUAUACAGUUUAGCUAAUGAAAUACACAGCAUAGUUGUCACUCAUCCAUAGCUUGGUUCAAAAUGUAGGAGUCACUUUGAGUAAAGUUCUGCAACUAAUUUGGAACCAAUAAAAUGCUUUUUUUUAAAAG